rnacentral:rRNA from 1 species
AGUGAACGCUGGCGGUAGGCCUAACACAUGCAAGUCGAACGGCAGCACAGUAAGAGCUUGCUCUUACGGGUGGCGAGUGGCGGACGGGUGAGGAAUACAUCGGAAUCUACUUUUUCGUGGGGGAUAACGUAGGGAAACUUACGCUAAUACCGCAUACGACCUACUGGUGAAAGCAUGGGAUCUUCUGACCUUGCGCGAUUGAAUGAGCCGAUGUCGGAUUAGCUAGUUGGCGGGGUAAAGGCCCACCAAGGCGACGAUCCGUAGCUGGUCUGAGAGGAUGAUAAGCCACACUGGAACUGAGACACGGUCCAGACUCCUACGGGAGGCAGCAGUGGGGAAUAUUGGACAAUGGGCGCAAGACUGAUACAGCCAUACCGCGUGGGUGAAGAAGGCCUUAGGGUUGUAAAGCCCUUUUGUUGGGAAAGAAAAGCAGCAGGUUAAUACCACGCUGUUCUGACGGUACCCAAAGAAUAAGCACCGGCUAACUUCGUG